rnacentral:rRNA from 1 species
UACGGAGGGUGCAAGCGUUGCUCGGAAUCACUGGGCGUAAAGCGUGCGCAGGCGGUUGUGUAAGUCUGACGUGAAAACCCCGGGCUCAACCUGGGAAUUGCGUUGGAGACUGCAAGGCUGGAGUCUGGCAGAGGGGGGUAGAAUUCCACGUGUAGCAGUGAAAUGCGUAGAGAUGUGGAGGAACACCGAUGGCGAAGGCAGCCCCCUGGGUCAAGACUGACGCUCAUGCACGAAAGCGUGGGGAGCAAACAGG